rnacentral:rRNA from 1 species
AGUGAACGCUGGCGGUAGGCCUAACACAUGCCAGUCGAACGGCAGCACAGUAAGGGCUUGCUCUUACGGGUGGCGAGUGGCGGACGGGUGAGGAAUACAUCGGAAUCUACUUUUUCGUGGGGGAUAACGUAGGGAAACUUACGCUAAUACCGCAUACGACCUACGGGUGAAAGCAGGGGAUCUUCGGACCUUGCGCGAUUGAAUGAGUCGAUGUCGGAUUAGCUAGUUGGCGGGGUAAAGGCCCACCAAGGCGACGAUCCGUAGCUGGUCUGAGAGGAUGAUCAGCCACACUGGAACUGAGACACGGUCCAGACUCCUACGGGAGGCAGCAGUGGGGAAUAUUGGACAAUGGGCGCAAGCCUGAUCCAGCCAUACCGCGUGGGUGAAGAAGGCCUUCGGGUUGUAAAGCCCUUUUGUUGGGAAAGAAAAGCAGCAGGUUAAUACCCCGCUGUUCUGACGGUACCCAAAGAAUAAGCACCGGCUAACUUCGUG